rnacentral:rRNA from 1 species
GACGAACGCUGGCGGCGUGCUUAACACAUGCAAGUCGAACGGAAAGGCCCUGCUUUUGUGGGAUGCUAGAGUGGAGAACGGGUGAGUAACGCGUGUGUAACGUGCUCUAGACUUUGGUAUGCCUUCAGGAAACUGGGGCUAAUACCGGAUAGGCGCUCCUGCUGCAUGGUGGGGGUUGGAAAGUUUCGGCGGUUGGGGAUGGACUCGCGGCUUAUCUGCUUGUUGGUGGGGUAGUGCCUAACCAAGGCUUUGACGGGUAGCCGGACUGUGAGGGUGACCGGCCACAUUGGGAUUGGGAACGGGCCCGGACCCCAACGGGGGGAAGCGGUGGGGAAUAUGGCACAAUGGGCGGAAGCCUAAGCCAGCAACGCCGGGGGCGGGAGAACGGCCUUCGGUUGUUAAACCGCUUUCGCCUGUAACGAAGCGUUAGUGACGGUAAUUGGUAAAGAAGCACCGGCUAACUACGUG